rnacentral:rRNA from 1 species
UACGAAGGGGGCUAGCGUUGCUCGGAAUGACUGGGCGUAAAGGGCGCGUAGGCGGUUUGGACAGUCAGGCGUGAAAUUCCCGGGCUUAACCUGGGGGCUGCGCUUGAUACAUCCAGGCUUGAGUGGGGAAGAGGGUCGUGGAAUUCCCAGUGUAGAGGUGAAAUUCGUAGAUAUUGGGAAGAACACCGGUGGCGAAGGCGGCGACCUGGUCCUUGACUGACGCUGAGGCGCGAAAGCGUGGGGAGCAAACAGG